rnacentral:lncRNA from 1 species
GACCCUUCCCUUAUCCCUCCACAGGCGCUACCCCCAGCACCCCAUUACCUUCGGCCCCGCCCCCCUGAGGUUGUCGAACUCACUGCUCCCGCCGCCGCCGCCGCAUCCUAAACCGCCGCGGCUGCUAUAGCUACAGGGAGCCAAGGCAACCAGCUCUCGCGACACUUUCUUCAGCUACGGCGAGAACAGUCGAGAAGAGAGUCUCGCAAGAAAGUAAAUUAAUCAGGCUCGAGAGCGCUAAGUAUAUCUCGCGAUAGUAGUGUUUUAAAAUGGCGGACGGACGCAAGGCGCUCCACGGGUUGUCUGGAAAGGUUUGGAGGUGGGGCGCGGACGAGGAUGAACCCUGAACUGACCAGAAGUCGGAAAACUAUUGGAAGCGGAAUGGUCUGUCCGGGCGGGUGCAAGUUUUUUCGUUCGACAUGGAGAAGUUGGAGAUGAAGAAGGCAGGCCAAAAAUUGACCUUCCCAUCUCCCCAUUACCUUCUAGUAAGAGGUUUUCAUCCGUUCUUCCCCCACCCUGAUUUGUAAAAAGUAUUUGGCUUCACAGAAAUGUUUGUCCUGAUGCCCCGCCUCGCCAUCUCAGGAGACCAAAAUAGGAAAAAUUUUCAAUAAAAACCAACAUGUAAGAACAGGUGUUUGGCCUAGGAUAUGGAAGGGAAUCGUACUGGUGUGUGGAUUUGUACUUUGCACUCUCUGUUC